UACGAAGGGGGCUAGCGUUGCUCGGAAUCACUGGGCGUAAAGCGCACGUAGGCGGGUUGCCAAGUCGGGGGUGAAAUCCUGGAGCUCAACUCCAGAACUGCCUUCGAUACUGGCGAUCUUGGAGUCCGGAAGAGGUGAGUGGAACUCCGAGUGUAGAGGUGAAAUUCGUAGAUAUUCGGAAGAACACCAGUGGCGAAGGCGGCUCACUGGUCCGGUACUGACGCUGAGGUGCGAAAGCGUGGGGAGCAAACAGG
rnacentral:rRNA from 1 species